CUACCCAUGGCCAGUGUGAAGCAGCUGUAAGAGGUUGUGGAGGCGCGAACCCACUUAGGUUGAAAACUGAGGGGAUGAGUUGUGGGUAGGGGUGAAAGGCCAAUCAAACUCCGUGAUAGCUGGUUCUCCCCGAAAUGCAUUUAGGUGCAGCGUCGUGUGUUUCUUGCCGGAGGUAGAGCUACUGGAUGGUUUAGCGGGACCAACAUCUUAGCGACAUCAGCCAAACUCCGAAUGCCGGUAAGUGAGAGCACGGCAGUGAGACUGCGGGGGAUAAGCUUCGUAGUCGAGAGGGAAACAGCCCAGAUCGCCGGCUAAGGCCCCUAAGGGUGUGCUAAGUGGAAAAGGAGGUGGGGUCGCGAAGACAGCCAGGAGGUUGGCUUAGAAGCAGCCAUCCUUGAAAGAGUGCGUAAUAGCUCACUGGUCGAGUGAUUCCGCGCCGACAAUGUAGUGGGGCUUAAGUACACCGCCGAAGCCGCGGCAAUGAUCCUUCUAAGGAUUGUUGGGUAGGGGAGCGUCGUGCACGUGGUGAAGCUAACUGGUAAUGGUUGGUGGAGUGUGUGCGAGUGAGAAUGCAGGCAUGAGUAACGAAUGAUGCGUGAGAAACGUAUCCGCCGGAUGACUAAGGGUUUCUUGGGUCAAGUUAAUCUUCCCAGGGUGAGUCGGGGCCUAAGGCGAGGCCGACAGGCGUAGUCGAUGGAUAACGGGUUGAUAUUCCCGUACCCGAGUAUGAGCGACCAUGGUGAAUCAGUGAUACUAACCACCCAUAAGCACCCGCGAAAAGGCUUUGCUUUUUUGUGGUGUGUGGUUGCGUGGGACCUGAUCUGGUAGUAGCUAAGUGAUGGGGUGACGCAGGGAGGUAGCUCAGCCACUUAUUGGAUUGUGGUGUAAGCGUGUGGCACGCAGUGUAGGUCAAAUCCGCACUGUUUUUGUGUGAGGCGUGAUGCGGAGCCCGUUAAGGGUGAAGUGGGUGAUCCUGUGCUGUCGAGAAAAGCCUCUAGCGAUGUUGAUAUUCGGCCCGUACCCUAAACCGACACAGGUAGUCAGGUAGAGAAUACUAAGGCGUUCGGGUGAACUGUGGUUAAGGAACUCGGCAAAAUGCCCCCGUAACUUCGGGAGAAGGGGGGCCACGGCGUGUGAACAACUUUUCGUUGGGAGCGUGUUGUGGUCGCAGAGAAUAGAGGGAAGCGACUGUUUACUAAAAACACAGGUCCGUGCGAAGACGUUUAAGUUGAUGUAUACGGACUGACGCCUGCCCGGUGCUGGAAGGUUAAGAGGACCGGUUAGCCGUAAGGCGAAGCUGAGAAUUUAAGCCCCAGUAAACGGCGGUGGUAACUAUAACCAUCCUAAGGUAGCGAAAUUCCUUGUCGGGUAAGUUCCGACCUGCACGAAUGGCGUAACGACUUCCCUGCUGUCUCAACCACAGGCCCGGUGAAAUUGCAGUACGAGUAAAGAUGCUCGUUACGCGCGGCAGGACGAAAAGACCCCGGGACCUUCACUAUAGCUUGGUAUUGGUGUUUGAUUCGGUUUGUGUAGGAUAGGUGGGAGACUUCGAUCAUAUGACGCUAGUUGUGUGUGAGUCGUUGGUGAAAUACCACUCUGAUCGGAUUGGAUGUCUUAACCUUGGCCCAUGAUCUGGGUUGGGGACAGUGCCUGGUGGGUAGUUUAACUGGGGCGGUUGCCUCCCAAAAUGUAACGGAGGCGCCCAAAGGUUUCCUCAGCUUGGUUGGUAAUCAGGUGGUGAGUGUAAGUGCACAAGGGAGCUUGACUGUGACACUGACAGGUGGAGCAGGGACGAAAGUCGGGACUAGUGAUCCGGCACCUACUUGUGGUUGUGG
rnacentral:rRNA from 1 species